rnacentral:rRNA from 1 species
UACGGAGGGGCGAGCGUUAUUCGGAAUUAUUGGGCGUAAAGGGCGCGUAGGCGGCCUUGCAAGUCAAAGGUGAAAUCCUCGGCUCAACUGAGGAACUGCCUUUGAAACUGCAAGGCUUGAGGCCGGGAGGGGGUAGCGGAAUUCCCAGUGUAGCGGUGAAAUGCGUAGAUAUUGGGAGGAACACCAGUGGCGAAGGCGGACUACCUGGACCGGUUCUGACGCUGAUGCGCGAGAGCGUGGGUAGCAAACAGG